AACACAUCACGUUGAAAGACUGGUUCGCGUACGAAUCCGAAGUUAAGCAAUGUCGAGCCUAGUCUGUACCUAGAUAGGUGACCGCUUAGGAAUACCAAGUGCUGUAA